ensembl:snRNA U6 U6 spliceosomal RNA
GUGCUUGUUUCAGCAACACAUAUGCUAAAACUGGAACAAUUACAAAGAUUAGCAUGGCCUCUGCACAAGGAUGAUAUGCAAAUCUGUGAAGCAUUCCAUAUGAAA